GACGAACGCUGGCGGCGUGCUUAACACAUGCAAGUCGAACGGAAAGGCCCUGAUUUUGUGGGGUGCUCGAGUGGCGAACGGGUGAGUAACACGUGAGUAACCUGCCCUUGUCUUUGGGAUAUCUUCAGGAAACAGGGGCUAUUACCGGAUAGGAGCUCCUGCUGCACGGUGGGGGUUGGAAAGUUUCGGCGGUUGGGGCUGGACUCGCGGCUUAUCAGCUUGUUGGUGGGGUAGUGGCUUACCAAGGCUUUGACGGGUAGCCGGCCUGAGAGGGUGACCGGCCACAUUAGGACUGAGGUACGGCCCAGACUCCUACGGGAGGCAGCAGUGGGGAAUAUUGCACAAUGGGCGGAAGCCUGAUGCAGCAACGCCGCGUGCGGGAUGACGGCCUUCGAGUUGUAAACCGCUUUCGCCUGUGACGAAGCGUGAGUGACGGUAAUGGGUAAAGAAGCACCGGCUAACUACGUG
rnacentral:rRNA from 1 species